rnacentral:rRNA from 1 species
AGUGAACGCUGGCGGUAGGCCUAACACAUGCAAGUCGAACGGCAGCACAGUAAGAGCUUGCUCUUACGGGUGGCGAGUGGCGGACGGGUGAGGAAUACAUCGGAAUCUACUUUUUCGUGGGGGAUAACGUAGGGAAACUUACGCUAAUACCGCAUACGACCUACGGGUGAAAGCAGGGGAUCUUCGGACCUUGCGCGAUUGAAUGAGCCGAUGUCGGAUCAGCUAGUUGGCGGGGUAAAGGCCCACCAAGGCGACGAUCCGUAGCUGGUCUGAGAGGAUGAUCAGCCACACUGGAACUGAGACACGGUCCAGACUCCUACGGGAGGCAGCAGUGGGGAAUAUUGGACAAUGGGCGCAAGCCUGAUCCAGCCAUACCGCGUGGGUGAAGAAGGCCUUCGGGUUGUAAAGCCCUUUUGUUGGGAAAGAAAAGCAGCAGGUUAAUACCCCGCUGUUCUGACGGUACCCAAAGAAUAAGCUCCGGCUAACUUCGUG